rnacentral:rRNA from 1 species
UACAGAGGGUGCAAGCGUUGCUCGGAUUUACUGGGCGUAAAGCGUACGCAGACGGCAAGGUCGGUCGGAUGUGAAAGCCCAGGGCUCAACCCUGGAAAUGCAUCCGAAACCUCCUUGCUCGAGUAUGAGAGAGGAAAGCGGAAUUCCUGGUGUAGAGGUGAAAUUCGUAGAUAUCAGGAGGAACAUCGGCGGCGAAGGCGGCUUUCUGGCUCAUUACUGACGUUCAGGUACGAAAGCGUGGGUAGCAAACAGG